CACACAGAGCUAGACGCCUACAACGCCAGGAUGGAUACCACCUAAAUGCCCAAAGUGCCCCUACCCUCACCGCUGACUGUCCAAUCACGCGAGGGCCGUGGUCGUUGUGGAGACAGCAGUGGACAGUUUCGGAAGAGUUUUACACCUGAUGUGUUUCAGAUGUGAUUUAAACUUGUGUAUCGUUCUUUCUCCUUUUAAAAUGCUCCAGAAUGUUUUUUACCUCUUGUUUUUUUUGUUUCAUUUUUCAAAAAAAAGAUAGUGGACUUGGCUGUAGGAUUUUAACGGGGGUUCUCCUUGUUGUAUUGGUUUCUCCCACCCCCUUGUAGAUCAUUGAAAUAAACCUACAGUUGCUUAUAA